AGAACGGGCCCUUCGUUGAGAGAAUUUCUCUCUUGUCGCUGGACUUGCAUUCGCAUCAGGCUCGAUUGCCAUCCAUUCAAUAAAUGACCAUAAGCCUCUGCAGAGAGCAACAUUUUCAUGUUAUAUUUCCGCGAGGUGUACUUUCAACCGUCGAGUUUUUCAAAUGACGAAGUACUAAUAGUUUCAACCAUUGUAAGUUUCACAAUUUACAAAGCAAAUGGACCAGUCAGUUUCUUUCUUCAACGGCUUUUUAGCUCUACUCGACCAGACACCUGCCACUUGGAGCAAAAGAAUAAAUUGGCAUUACUCAGUUUUUUUAUAGUCCACGGUCUUCUUCCUGGGUGCAUAACUAUGUUGGCGCAGGAAAUUGUUAUUAUAAUAGGAAAUUGUUUAUUCAAUAAAUUAUAAUAAUACAUGAGUUAACAAACUUCUUACUUAGAAGCACGACAUUUUUCGCUAAAAUCUCAUUCACAGAAAAUAGGUGCUAUAAAAAAAAAUCAUUGUUUAAUCUCGUCUGCACUGCAACCAGCAACAAUUAAUAUUAUACUGUAUAUAAAAAAAUAUCAUUUCAAGAAAUGAUAAUAAUGAUAUUAUUAUUAAAUGGUCC
rnacentral:lncRNA from 1 species